AGAAGAGGUCAGAAGGAAGAUCAAAAGGUAAAAGCAAGUUCAGACCUAGUUCUGAAGUAAGAGAAGAAAGGGGGAGAUACUAUGCAGAUUCCAAAAACCCAGUUAGAGAAGACAUCUUGGUUUUUGCAUCUUUCCCAAAAGCCAGAGAAGUGAGACUGGCUCCUGAAUCUAUGAUAGUCCUUGAAAGAGUAGGGAAGGGGAAGGAUUCCCACCCCCCGUCCAGCGCCAUCACCAGCAAUCCCACCAUUCCCAUAUACACAAGCCCGAGUGCAAUGCAACAGAACCAGCAGGUUCCACCUUCAUAAUGAGCCAGAGACUGGCCAGCCCAGCGAGGAAGAAAUGCAGCAGGAGGCGCCAUGGGUCUGACAGCCCCACAAAAAGGGAUCAUCCUGGGCUCAGUCCUUCCAUCAGGCAACUUUUAACUUGGAACCUAAAAAUGAAAAAGUGCCUUUGUUUAAAACCCUCCUGAAGUUUCUGAUCACGAUGAUUUAUGUAAAUAAAAUGUUAAAUUAAAA